rnacentral:lncRNA from 1 species
AUCAGUGUAAGCUGAAGUUCUGUAAAUUAACGGCAGAGCCACUACAAACAUGCGAAAGCGAAGUAAUACUCCUAGUUAAUAGAAGGAGGGCAUGGUAAAGUUGAUUGAUGCUAGGUUGGUAGCGAGGGAGGGAGUUGACAAAAUAAGGAAAAACACGAGAGACAAUUGACUUAUGCUAAAAUUGAGCAAAAGAGAUGUCUAUCGUGAAUUAGAGACAACAAAACAAGUGAAUCUGGGGAAUAAAGGAGAGCAUGAUUGACACUUGUUACAGACUGUUGGCAAAAUCCAAAUUGGGAGGGGGUCGAAAGGAAGGAGGAAGCAGUUAUAGACCUGCUCACAUUAUCUCUGUAUAGAGGAAGAUGGAUACUCUUCUAUCUUUGAUAUCAAAGGGAGCCAAGCAGUGCCAAUAGCUGGGCGCAUGAUUGGAGAUGACACUCUUGGAGAAAAUUUCAUAUAGCAUGAAAUGGGAACCUACAUCCAUUGGCAUUUGAGUUUACUCUUACAAUCUUUUUGUUUAAACUGUA